rnacentral:misc_RNA from 1 species
GACCCAAUAUGCGCUCGAGGCCUCGGUCGAGGGCAUGUCUGUCUAGGCAUCGCAUCCCAUUCGAAUGUGUUGUCAGCUGAAAUACCUCAAGCAAUGUUUCAUGGUGUGCAUUGGCGGGCGGUGAUCUUGUCCCCUUAGAUGGGCAGUCAACGUUAGCUGAUGUGGGCAUUGUGUGGCAUCGCUCGAACUUGCUUUUCUCUCUCUUGUCCUCCCAUGAGGUAUGGCAAAUUUAGCUCCAACUUUGUGACCUCAUCUCAGGCGAGAACACCCACUGAGUUUAA